GAUCCUGGCUCAGGACGAACGCUGGCGGCGUGCCUAACACAUGCAAGUCGAACGAGAAUCUUUGAACAGAUCUUUUCGGAGUGACGUUCAAAGAGGAAAGUGGCGGACGGGCGAGUAACGCGUGAGUAACCUGCCCAUAAGAGGGGGGAUAAUCCAUGGAAACGUGGACUAAUACCGCAUAUUGUAGUUAAGUUGCAUGACUUGAUUAUGAAAGAUUUAUCGCUUAUGGAUGGACUCGCGU
rnacentral:rRNA from 1 species